CAAACCCCAAAGUGAAUUCUUCUUCUUUCUUAUAAGAUAUACUUAUGGCAAAAUCUUCGCAGAUGUUUGUCACCCUCGUGUGCCUCCUGCUUCUGUGCACCAGCGAUCAAGUCCAUGGAGAGGACGCCAACAUCACAAGCAGCAUCCCAGUACAGCCAGCAAGAAGGUUUCUACCAGCAACAUACUUUCCUCAGACAACCGUGUCAAGACAGUGCGACCUAUGCCACUGCAGCCAUGAUCAUGAGAAAACUUAUUAUGCAACAAUAUGCUGCAAUGAGAUAACUUGCAAUGAUCCAGCGGAGCCGAAAGGCACUUGUACACUUCGUAAACUCUCAUGCGGCUGUGACGUGAAUACAUGCAAGUAGUACAUGCAACUGAAAGUUUUCGUUGUGUGUUUUUCUUUAAUAAAGGGGCCAUUGGUGCCAAAACAUGCUUGAAUCAUC